rnacentral:tRNA from 1 species
GGACGGGUGGCCGAGUCCGGUCGAAGGCGCAGCACUGGAAAUGCUGUACAGCCGCAAGGCUGUCUUGGGUUCAAAUCCCAACCCGUCCG